rnacentral:rRNA from 1 species
GAUCAUGGCUCGGGAUGAACGCUAGCUACAGGCUUAACACAUGCAAGUCGAGGGGCAGCAUGGUCUUAGCUUGCUAAGGCCGAUGGCGACCAGCGCACGGGUGAGUAACACGUAUCCAACCUGCCGUCUACUCUUGGACAGCCUUCUGAAAGGAAGAUUAAUACAAGAUGGCAUCAUGAGUCCGCAUGUUCACAUGAUUAAAGGUAUUCCGGUAGACGAUGGGGA